rnacentral:rRNA from 1 species
CCUACGGGAGGCUGCAGUGGGGAAUAUUGGACAAUGGGCGAAAGCCUGAUCCAGCAAUGCCGCGUGUGUGAAGAAGGCCUUCGGGUUGUAAAGCACUUUCAGUGGGGAAGAAAGCCCUGGGGCUAAUACCCUCGAGGAAGGACAUCACCCACAGAAGAAGCACCGGCUAACUCCGUGCCAGCAGCCGCGGUAAUACGGAGGGUGCGAGCGUUAAUCGGAAUUACUGGGCGUAAAGCGCGCGUAGGCGGUUUGUAAGCCGGUUGUGAAAGCCCCGGGCUCAACCUGGGAACGGCAUCCGGAACUGUCAGGCUAGAGUACAGGAGAGGAAGGUAGAAUUCCCAGUGUAGCAGUGAAAUGCGUAGAGAUCGGGAGGAAUACCAGUGGCGAAGGCAGCCUUCUGGACUGACACUGACGCUGAGGUACGAAAGCGUGGGUAGCAAACAGGAUUAGAUACCCCUGUAGUC